rnacentral:rRNA from 1 species
UACGAAGGGGGCUAGCGUUGCUCGGAAUCACUGGGCGUAAAGGGUGCGUAGGCGGGUCUUUAAGUCAGGGGUGAAAUCCUGGAGCUCAACUCCAGAACUGCCUUUGAUACUGGGGAUCUCGAGUCCGGGAGAGGUGAGUGGAACUGCGAGUGUAGAGGUGAAAUUCGUAGAUAUCCGCAAGAACACCAGUGGCGAAGGCGGCUCACUGGCCCGGUACUGACGCUGAGGUGCGAAAGCGUGGGGAGCAAACAGGAUUAGAUACCC